rnacentral:rRNA from 1 species
GAUGAACGCUGGCGGCGUGCUUAACACAUGCAAGUCGAACGAUGAAGCCCAGCCUGCUGGGCGGAUUAGUGGCGAACGGGUGAGUAACACGUGAGUAACCUGCCCUUGACUCUGGGAUAAGCCCGGGAAACUGGGUCUAAUACCGGAUAGGAGCGCCUGUCGCAUGACGGGUGCUGGAAAGAUUUUUCGGUCAUGGAUGGACUCGCGGCCUAUCAGCUUGUUGGUGAGGUAACGGCUCACCAAGGCGACGACGGGUAGCCGGCCUGAGAGGGUGACCGGCCACACUGGGACUGAGACACGGCCCAGACUCCUACGGGAGGCAGCAGUGGGGAAUAUUGCACAAUGGGCGGAAGCCUGAUGCAGCGACGCCGCGUGAGGGAUGACGGCCUUCGGGUUGUAAACCUCUUUCAGUAGGGAA